AAUAUUGCACAAUGAGCGAAAGCUUGAUGCAGCGACGCAGCGUGAGGGAUGACGGNUUNNGGGUUNUNAACCUCUUUCGGCAGNNNNNAAGUCCAGGUUUUGGCCUGGUUGCGAGUACCUGCUUAAGAAGCGCCGGCUAACUACGUGCGAGCAGCCGCGGUAAUACGUAGGGCGCGAGCGUUGUCCGGAAUUAUUGGGCGUAAAGAGCUCGUAGGCGGCUUGUCGCGUCUGCUGUGAAAACGCGGGGCUUAACUCCGCGCUUGCAGUGGGUACGGGCAGGCUUGAGUGUAGUAGGGGAGACUGGAAUUCCUGGUGUAGCGGUGGAAUGCGCAGAUAUCAGGAGGAACACCGAUGGCGAAGGCAGGUCUCUGGGCUAUAACUGACGCUGAGGUGCGAAAGCGUGGGGAGCAAACA
rnacentral:rRNA from 1 species